rnacentral:rRNA from 1 species
GAUGAACGCUGGCGGCGUGCCUAAUACAUGCAAGUCGAGCGAACAGACGAGGAGCUUGCUCCUCUGACGUUAGCGGCGGACGGGUGAGUAACACGUGGAUAACCUACAUAUAAGACUGGGAUAACUUCGGGAAACCGGAGCUAAUACCGGAUAAUAUAUUGAACCGCAUGGUUCAUUAGUGAAAGACGGUUUUGCUGUCACUUAUAGAUGGAUCCGCGCCGCAUUAGCUAGUUGGUAAGGUAACGGCUUACCAAGGCGACGAUGCGUAGCCGACCUGAGAGGGUGAUCGGCCACACUGGAACUGAGACACGGUCCAGACUCCUACGGGAGGCAGCAGUAGGGAAUCUUCCGCAAUGGGCGAAAGCCUGACGGAGCAACGCCGCGUGAGUGAUGAAGGUCUUCGGAUCGUAAAACUCUGUUAUUAGGGAAGAACAAAUGUGUAAGUAACUAUGCACGUCUUGACGGUACCUAAUCAGAAAGCCACGGCUAACUACGUG